CCUACGGGAGGCAGCAGUCGAGAAUCUUCGGCAAUGGACGCAAGUCUGACCGAGCGACGCCGCGUGCGGGAUGAAGGCCUUCGGGUUGUAAACCGCUGUCAGAGGGGAUGAAGUGUACGGGAGUUAUCUCCUGUAUUUGACAGAGCCUCAGAGGAAGCACGGGCUAAGUUCGUGCCAGCAGCCGCGGUAAUACGAACUGUGCGAACGUUAUUCGGAAUCACUGGGCUUAAAGGGUGCGUAGGCGGCUGCCUAAGUCAGGUGUGAAAUCUCUCGGCUCAACCGGGAAACUGCGCUUGAUACUGGGCGGCUCGAGUGAGGUAGGGGUGUGUGGAACUUCCGGUGGAGCGGUGAAAUGUGUAGAUAUCGGAAGGAACGCCAGCAGCGAAAGCGGCACACUGGGCCUUUUCUGACGCUGAGGCACGAAAGCUAGGGGAGCGAACGGGAUUAGAUACCCCGGUAGUCCUAGCCGUAAACACUGAACACUCGAGGAGGGGGCUUCGGGCCUUCUUUCUCUUAGCGAAGCGUUAAGUGUUCCGCCUGGGGAGUAGUGGUCGCGAGGCGUAGAAACGUUAAAGGUAAGUUAGUACGGCGUGAGACGUCGCCGACGGACGACCGACGAGGGAGGUUAGG
rnacentral:rRNA from 1 species